GUCAUCAUAUAGCGUAUAUAUAAAGUUUGUUGCGAGGUUAAAAAGGCUCGUAUGUUGAACCUUGGGUCUGGCUGGCCGGUCCGCCUCACCGCGAGUACUGGUCCGGCUGGACCUUUCCUUCUGGGGAAUCCCAUGGCCUUCACUGGCUGUGGGUGGAACCAGGACUUUUACUGUGAAAAAAUUAGAGUGUUCAAAGCAGGCCUUUGCUCGAAUACAUUAGCAUGGAAUAAUAGAAUAGGACGUGCGGUUCUAUUUUGUUGGUUUCUAGGACCGCCGUAAUGAUUAAUAGGGAUAGUCGGGGGCGUCAGUAUUCAGCUGUCAGAGGUGAAAUUCUUGGAUUUGCUGAAGACUAACUACUGCGAAAGCAUUCGCCAAGGAUGUUUUCAUUAAUCAGGGAACGAAAGUUAGGGGAUCGAAGACGAUCAGAUACCGUCGUAGUCUUAACCAUAAACUAUGCCGACUAGGGAUCGGGCGGCGUUUCUAUGAUGACCCGCUCGGCACCUUACGAGAAAUCAAAGUUUUUGGGUUCUGGGGGGAGUAUGGGUCGCA
rnacentral:rRNA from 1 species